rnacentral:tRNA from 1 species
CCCUGGUUAGCUCAGUUGGUAGAGCGCUCCACUGGAAAUGGAGAGGUCCCUGUUUU